UGGGGAAUUUUGGACAAUGGGCGAAAGCCUGAUCCAGCAAUGCCGCGUGUGUGAAGAAGGCCUUCGGGUUGUAAAGCACUUUUGUCCGGAAAGAAAUCCUUGGCUCUAAUACAGUCGGGGGAUGACGGUACCGGAAGAAUAAGCACCGGCUAACUACGUGCCAGCAGCCGCGGUAAUACGUAGGGUGCAAGCGUUAAUCGGAAUUACUGGGCGUAAAGCGUGCGCAGGCGGUUUGCUAAGACCGAUGUGAAAUCCCCGGGCUCAACCUGGGAACUGCAUUGGUGACUGGCAGGCUAGAGUAUGGCAGAGGGGGGUAGAAUUCCACGUGUAGCAGUGAAAUGCGUAGAGAUGUGGAGGAAUACCGAUGGCGAAGGCAGCCCCCCUGGGGCCAAUACUGACGCUCAUGCACGAAAGCGUGGGGAGCAAAACAGGAUUAGAUACCCCUGGUAGUCCACGCCCCUAAAACGAUGUCAACUAGUUGUUGGGGAUUCAUUUCCUUAGUAACGUAGCUAACGCGUGAAGUUGACCGCCUGGGGAGUACGGUCGCAAGAUUAAAACUCAAAUGAAUUGACGGGGUCAUAGCUG
rnacentral:rRNA from 1 species